UAGUUCAACUCAAAAUUGACAGGAAGAUGAUUAUUACGCAGCAACUUGAAUUAGAAGAUGGAGCCUCAUUGACUAGUGAAUUAAUUAAGCAUAUCCCGACCAAGCAAGACUGAUCACUACAAGAAAUGCAGACAAGCUGGAUGCUCGGGGCUUGAAUGCAUGAAAAGAAAUGCUGAAAGGUCAGGUGCUCAAGGCUUGAAUGCAGAAAAGGCCACGACAGAGUUGUGUCCACCAAAUCCAAAUGAAUUUGAAAUA
rnacentral:lncRNA from 1 species